ensembl:scaRNA
UGGCCGAUGACGACCAGACCACUGCACAACCUGAGUCCUGCACACCAGGCGUUGGAGUGUGUUCUGAGAACAGACCAAGGCCG